UUCAGCUUCACCCUGCACUGCAUUGUUUGAAGGUUCAGCUUCACCCUCUACUGAAUUGUUUGAAGGUUCAGCUUGGCUCUCCACUGCACUGUUUGAAGGUUCAACACCAUUCUCCACUGCAUCAUUACAAGGUCCGGCUUCACCCACCACUGCCUUGUUUGAAGGUUCAACUUCAACCUCCACUACAUUGUUAGAAGGUACAACGCCAUUCUUCACUGCAUCAUUAGAAGGUUCAGCUUCAACCUCAUCUGCCUUGCUUGAAGGUUCAGCUUCAACCUCCACUGGAUUGUUUGAAGGUUCAACACCAUUCACCACUGCAUCAUUAGAAGGUUCAGCAUCACCCUCCAGUGCCUUGUUUGAAGGUUCAGCUUCACUCCCCGCGGCAUAAUUUGAAGGUUCAGCUUCAUUCUCCCCUGCAUCAGUAGAAGGUUCAGCUUCACCCUCCACUGCCUUGAUUGAAG
rnacentral:lncRNA from 1 species